rnacentral:rRNA from 1 species
UCGCCCUUCCUACGGGGGGCAGCAGUAAGGAAUAUUGGGCAAUGGCCGCGAGGCUGACCCAGCCAUGCCGCGUGCAGGAAGACGGCCUUAUAGGUUGUAAACUGCUUUUAUACGGGAAUAAUAGAGUGUACGCGUACAUUUAUGCAAGUAUCGUAGAAUAAGCAUCGGCUAACUCCGUGCCAGCAGCCGCGGUAAUA